UGGGGAAUCUUCCGCAAUGGACGAAAGUCUGACGGAGCAACGCCGCGUGAGUGAUGACGGCCUUCGGGUUGUAAAGCUCUGUUAAUCGGGACGAAUGGUUCUUGUGCGAAUAGUGCGAGGAUUUGACGGUACCGGAAUAGAAAGCCACGGCUAACUACGUGCCAGCAGCCGCGGUAAUACGUAGGUGGCAAGCGUUGUCCGGAAUUAUUGGGCGUAAAGCGCGCGCAGGCGGAUUGGUCAGUCUGUCUUAAAAGUUCGGGGCUUAAACCCGUGAUGGGAUGGAAACUGCCAAUCUAGAGUAUCGGAGAGGAAAGUGGAAUUCCUAGUGUAGCGGUGAAAUGCGUAGAUAUUAGGAAGAACACCAGUGGCGAAGGCGACUUUCUGGACGAAAACUGACGCUGAGGCGCGAAAGCCAGGGGAGCGAACGGG
rnacentral:rRNA from 1 species